GUAUGUUUUGUUAUAAAGUGAGAUAUGGGUAGCACCUCCAGACAGCUAGAGUCAAGGAGAGUGAGCCUUUUUUUUCUUUUCCUUAAGAUGGACAAAUUUAUAUACUACAGAGAAAGAGCUAUUAGAAAGAGGGUGAAACACAGAUUCAACAAAUACUAAGAACUUACUACCUACAAAGCACCACUCUAGAGGCACAGAAGAGGACAGACAUGAUCCCAAAAUGCAGGGUCAUGGUCAUGAAGUAAACCACAUUCUCUUCCAGCACAGAGAGGCAUUCCCCAAACAAUCACACAAUGAAUGGCUUAGUUACACACUUGGUAAGGGCUGCACACUGCUCAGUGCAACCCUGGACCUGACCUAGUCUGGGCAGCUGCAGAAGGCUGUUCUGAGGAAGUGACAUUUAAGCUGAGAUGUUUCAAAAAAAAAAAAAAAAAAAAAAAGAAGAUAUUAAAAUAUUUUGAAAAUGAAACAGGAGCUGGGGGCAGGGGCAGUGGGCCUGCAGUGGUACUAAGUGCAUCCUUGACGGGGAUGGGUCUGGGAGGGAGCGGCCGAAAGUCAGAGCAGCCAACUGGGAGAGAUGAGACUAGGAAGGCAGCAGGAGCCCAGAUCCCCCAGAUUCUGCAGGGGCCUGGAGACCAUGCACAGGACUAGAGAUUCUAUUAUAAAUGAGACAGAAAGUCUUUGAAGGACGUUAAACAGGAGAACAAUGUGAUCAAACAGAGCCAAGGAACAAGGUAACUGAUAAGGACUGAAGUUCCUGAGAAGAUUAGAAGGAAUAGAAACCAGAGCUGGGGACAGGGAUACAUCAUAGUGGGUCAGCCUUUGCUGGGAAUGUGGUCUGUGUCCUGGAUCUGCAAGUGCUUCUUGGGUGUGGAAACGGUGAUCCUCAGCCCUUGGGCUGCUUGGUAGAGCUUAGAGGAGGUGGGAACUCUGGGGCAGUCACCUCACGUAGGCAAACACUGUAUUGAACAAAUAUCAUUUUCUGUGUGUAUAAAAGAUUGGAAGCGCUGUAGGGCUUUAAUGAUAGCUCUUUCUCUAAGAAAACAGAUAAGGAUGGAUAAGCAUCAGUUGAGGGAACGCUGGGGGCGGGGCAGGAGACAGGGAGCUCGGUCUGAUGACCUCUGAAUUUCUUUUUGUGUAGGAGACAGAGUGAAGGUGUUUGAUCUAUUUCCCCCCCACCCCCGCUUUGAUUUGGUACUUAUAGCAGGUACCAUUCAUCAAAAUACUCACAUGUAUUGACUCACUUAACCUUCAAAACAAUCCCAUGGGGUGGUAUUAUUAUUAGUCCCAGUUUUCAAGUGACAAAAUGAGGCACAGGGAGAUUAAGUCACGUGCACAAGGACAUACUCCUGUGAGAGAGUCAGCUUCAAACUAAAUGGUCUGGCUCCAGGGUCCUAGUUCUUAACUAGUCAACGCUGAUUCUCCAAGGCUCAUUGCUGAGAGGGACCAUAGAGCUGGAAGAGAGGGUUUUAGGAAAGAUAGUGAGUUGCCACUAGAAUAGGAGGUACCUGCUCUGCCAGUUGUGUCUGAAAAAGUUAACCUCUCUAAGCCUCAAGUUUCCUCAACUGCAAAACAAAGAUAGUAGAAUCCACAUGUUGUUAUGAGGACUAAAGAGAUAAUACGUGCAAAGUUCCUAGCUCAGGGGAAGCACUUAAGGACCUCUGCUACUCUAAUGGCAAAGGGAGUUAACUAAAGACAGGAGGGUGUGGCAGAUCCUGCCAAGGGUCCGAGGGUCCAGGAAACAGGAGAACAGAACUUUUAGUGGCACCAAUUUCCAGCUUUGUGAUUUUCUCCAGUAAUCUCUGGGAGAAGGCUGGUGGUUUGAAUAAUUUAGAGCUGGAGUUGUUUAACAGAAAAGGGAAAGGAGGAUGAUGGGAUCCAGGCUAGCAGGUAUUUACUGAUUAACAAUCAAUCAAUAAUAAAUAUUUGUCAAAUAAAUGGUCUGCAAUACUCUUAACCUAACUUAGACAACUUUUCAAAGUUUCUGUGGGAAAAGGACUUGAUUCAUCUUGGGAUGGGAGAACACAUAACCCUCAAGAAAGAAUUGGAUUCCAAAAGGAAAAAGUGCUUAAAGGAACUGGGGAAGGGAGAUGAGGAAGGUAUAUAAAGGUUCCCUGCUAGGCUAACUCUCCUGAUCCCAUACCUGCUUUUCUUUUCUCACUUUGAACCUACUAAAGACAACAAAACAAAACCUAUUAAAGACAAAAGCCGAGAAAAAAAAGUGAUAAAGAGCCCUGAAGAUGAGCUCAUGCUGAAGAGAAAACACUGAAAACUGGAAUUUUCUUGGGCAUUCCUCCUAAAAGGCCUGGGGUCCGGGCAGAGACUAUAAACGAAGCCUUGAUUGUGGAUGGUGCACGGAUCCGCUCUGGGGGACUUGCUGACAUGGAAGCUGAGGAGGGGAUCAGGUCUGGUCAAAGAGUGACAGAGGGAUGGGUUACUAGGGCAACAGGCUGAGGAGGGGAGAAGGAGAGGAUAAAGCUAUCUAAGGAAGAAACAGGAGUUCCUAAAUCCAGCCGGGUCCACCCUGAAUCAGACUUUCAUAAAAAACAGCCAGAUGAGGCUGCGAGUUCCUCUUUUACCGUGGCAAAAUUUAAAAUAACUAGCUGGUGGUCAUUAUUUUUAAAGAUUAAAUAAAAAUAACUCACACCCCUCAAUGCAGCCUCAGCAAAAAGAAUGAAUGUUAAAUGUUAAUAAUACUCUUAGGAAUUGAGGCUCCCUAAGCAAGCAAAUAAAAAUAAAAAUAAAAAAUGAUUUUGCAGCUAUACAAUUUGCAGCAGAAAGCUGUCCUCGAGCUGAUAUUUUUAGCAGGUAAGAAAGGAGACUAUAACUUUUGGUUUGGCUGAUACAGAAUGGUUUUUUUUUCUGUGUGUGUGUGUGUGUGUGUGUGUGUGUGUCUUUUUCACUUGGAGAAAAAAAACAACAAAUUCCUUCCUAAAAUAGCAAAGACAACAAUACAAGGAAUAAUACUUCAGAGUCUGCACAGAUAUUUCCUGUACUUCACUCAAUGUACUAAUCACAAUCAAAAUUAGGAAUUAAAAGGAAAAAAACACCACUACUGCCACUUACCCUCAAUGACAACAAAACACCCAGUAGACACACCUAACCUCACCCCACUAAACAACAACAAAACACUGCUUGCCGCAUAUCUGAAUAUAAUAAAAAAAUAAACUCUGAUAGCUGUCAAGACAUGGAAAUAUGAAUAUUAAGCAGGAUAACAUUCUUUCUAAGGAUAGUAGUGUAAGCAAUGAAAAAAGCCAUUAUUCCAGAAUAAAAGCUAGAAAUAAUCAAAAGUUGGGUUUGUUCAAUUAGGAGCUACAUACUUAGAUUUAAAAAAAAAGUAUUAGUCACUUAUGAUGGAACAUGAUAAUGUGAGAAAAAGGAAUGUAUGUGUGACUGGGCCACUUUGCUGUACGCUAGAAAACCGACAGCACUGUAAACCAGCUAUAAUGGAAAAAAUAAAAAUCACUGAAAAAAUUUUUUAAAUUAAAAAAAACUUCACUAUUAAAAUUUUUUCAUUAAAAAAAUAUUCUGUUGUUGCAAAUCUGUAAUACUCUUUCCUUAUUCCCCUUAUUUGAAAUAAGUGUUUUUUAAGGCAGUUCUUUUUAGAAUGCAAUUAUGAUGUUUUAACAGAACAUGAAAGAUGAGGGAAAAAAUACAAAAAGCCAAGUAUAAAAGAAAGAAAAGCCAACCAUAAGCAGUUUGUGUGCCAAGGAGUUUAAAGAGAGACAAGUGCCCCCAUCAUCUCUGCUUUUGUCUUCCAUAAGAGAAUUUUUAGCUGGUUAAAAACCCUCAGGAUAAGAACCACAUUUCCCAGUCCCCUCACAGCUAGGUGUGGUCAAAUAACUAAGUUCUGGCCAGUGCGGUCUGGACAGAAAGAAUGUAUGCAACUUCCUGGUUCCGCUCUUUAAGGGAAAAAGCAUGUCCUCCCUUUUUCUCCCUUGCUGACAGCUGAAAUGGGGUUGUGGUGAUUGGCCAUCUCCGACCGUGAUCGAGGGAUGGUUAAGCAGAGGACAGAAAGAACCCAGAGCCUGAUGACCUCAUGGAGCCAAGUGCCACACUAGUACGUGACACAGAAGUCAACUUCUAGCUGGUGUAAGCAUCUGUUAUUUGGGGUCACUGUUAGGUAUAAUCAAACUUAGAAUCCAACAAAUAUAUGGUAAAUGAGAUGUUUCCAGUCAGUGGCAGCAGAUAAUUGCUGAACCACAAACUAUGGCACUAAAACUUUUAAAAGCUAAUUUAACUGUUACUGUGACAUAUCCUUAUAAACUUCUCCCUGUUAAUACUCUCGCUACAUCUUUUUUCACACCCUAGUCUUACAUAAAUGUGAUUUUGAUCUAGGCUGAAUUCUUACAAAGUCAGUCUGGUUUACCCAGCUGAAAUCAAAAUACAGCAAAGCAACUCUUGUAAAAUUACCUAAGGACACACAUUAAGAGUUUUGAACUGGGCUAAUCAAUACACUGUGCUAGUGUUAAAUAUUUCUGAUAGAUGCUGUUUCUGAAAAGUUUUUAGCACAAUCAGAAUGGCAUUUCUACAUUGUACUUGUGUUUAUUUUUAUUCUUCAAGUUAAAACUGCAAUCAUUUGAUAUGCUAAGAGCUCCCCAUCAAAAUACUGUAGACAUGUGGAGUUCCUAUUCUGGUUCAGCACUAACGAACCUGACUAGUAUCAAGGAGGAUGCUGGUUCAAUCCCUGGCCUCACUGCUGCAGCUCCAAUUCAACCCCUAGCCUGGGAACUUCCAUAUGCUGCAAAUGGGGCCCUAAAAAAGGGGAAAAAAAAAAAAAAAGAAGAAGAAGAAGAAGAAAAAAAGGUGUGUGAGGAGUUCCCUGGCAGCCUAGAGGUUAAGGAUCUAGCAUUGUCACUGGUGUGGCUUGGGUCACUGCUGUGGUGCAGGUUUGAUCCCUGGCCUAGGAACUUUUGCAUGCCACGG
rnacentral:lncRNA from 1 species